rnacentral:rRNA from 1 species
CCUACGGGUGGCAGCAGUGAGGAAUAUUGGUCAAUGGCCGUAAGCCUGAACCAGCCAAGUCGCGUGAAGGAAGAAUGCUCUAUGGGUUGUAAACUUCUUUUAUAGGGGAAUAAAGGUAUCCACGUGUGGAUAUUUGCAUGUACCCUAUGAAUAAGCAUCGGCUAACUCCGUGCCAGCAGCCGCGGUAAUACGGAGAAUGCGAGCGUUAUCCGGAUUUAUUGGGUUUAAAGGGUGCGUAGGUUGUUUGUUAAGUCAGCGGUGAAAGUUUGUGGCUCAACCAUAAAAUUGCAGUUGAGACUGGAAGCCUUGAGUGUGUUUGAGGUAGGCGGAAUGCGUGGUGUAGCGGUGAAAUGCAUAGAUAUCACGAAGAACUCCGAUUGCGAAGGCAGCUUACUAAGCCAUAACUGACACUGAAGCACGAAAGCGUGGGGAUCAAACAGGAUUAGAUACCCGAGUAGUC